GCGGAGCCGGAGGGGGCGGGCCUGGAAAUGACGCUGGGGCCCCGCCCCCGCGGCGGGAGGGGCGCGAGGCCUGGGCUGUUCCUGGUUCCCCCGCAGCGGCUGCAGCCCCCCGGGGCUCGGUCGGGGCCUAGGCCGCCUGCCCCCACUCCGCGGCCUGGAGCAACCUUGGGAUUUUCGGCCGGCGUGGCGGACACGGCUGAUUCACCCGGGGGCUUUUGUGGGGACAUUCCUGCCGUCGGAGGCCUCUUUCCGAACGGCCCGUAGGCGGGGGCUCUUCCAGUGGGGCCCCCGGGGUGCUGCCCAGAGACUGCGACAGAGCCUGGGGUGGGGAAAGGAGUGCCCCCCUCCCCGGGCUCUAGCGACCCCGGAGCAUCUCAGUUUCCCGGAGUCCCCCGCUGCACCUGCUCCGGGCGACCGGCCCUGGAGACCCCAAUGCCACAACCAUCCCUAACACGCGUGCCCGCGACAGGAGUGUGCGUUUCGGCCCUAGAGUCUAGAGUGCGUGGGGAGUGCGAGCGCUGGCCGCUUGCACGUGCGAGUGAGCGUCGGUCCGCACAGCUCCGGGGUCCUAACUGCUUAUCUGCCAGUGAGCAUCUUCCUGGGGAGGGGCAUACCAGCAUCAGGAGCAUCAGCCCUGGCUGUGGCCUGUAGAGCAUCUGGAGGCUUCACCCCUGAGCCAAUGCACUCCAGCAACGUGAAGAGGGUGGCCCAGUCGUCACCAGAGUGGAUGUUGGCUGCAUUGGUCUUGAGGAGUUCAUGGAGCCCGUAGGCAACCUGGUGGCUGACCCUGGACAGCACGCUGGGCUUCAUCAGUAACAAGAUGCGCAGGGACAGCAGGACCUGGGAUGGGACAAACACAGAUACAGUCUUCCCCAUUAGUCACUUAGGUAGUAAGGAGAGUUGGCUGAGCUAGCCUUGUCUUCUUUUCUUUUGGAGUACUGGGAUUGAACCCUGGGCCUUACACCCUUGACCAUGCAUCAUUUUUUUAUAUUGGUAUUCUUAUUAAUUAUAUGUUCACAUAUAGUUAUAACAACACAUAAAGAGUUUCCUUAUGGUUGGGUGGUGGUGAUGUACACUUUUAAUCCCAGCACUUGGCAGGCAGAGAGAGGCAAGUGGAUAUCUGAAUUUGAGGUCAGCCUGGUCUAAAGAGCGAGUUCCAGUGCAGGCUCCAAAGCAAUACAGAGAAACCCUGUCUUAAAAAAAAAAAAUCAAAAAAGAAGAAAAAAGAAAAAAAGAAAAAGAGCUUCCUUGCAUUACGUUGUCUAGUCUAUCCCAAAAACAAUGAUGUAGAACUAACCAUAACAUGUCAAUAAGGACAGAAUUAGGAAUAAUCUACUGGUUUCCACUGGCUUUCCCAUGUGUACUAUGAUGUGCUUAGUCCUACAUGAAGGGACCCACGCUGCUGCUGGAGAGCUACAUUUCUAAUCCUUGUCUCCUGUCCCAUCCCUAAUCCUCAGCAAUCUGUCCUCAACUUCUAAAAUUCUGUGAAUUCCAAAUGUUAUCUAGAUAGAAUUAUCGCUUACCCCUGGUCUCCCCGACCUGGAGAUCCACCUACAUCUUUACACAUCAGGUUUGCUGCUCUAAGUAGCUGAAUAGCAUUUCACCGUAUGUUCGUACCACAGUUUAUUCCCUUACGGCAAGUCGUCAGGCUGACUCCAGCUUUUGGCUUUAACUACUACAGCUUCAGUGAACAUUUAUACAUAUAUUUAAGUUAAAAUAAGCCUUCAUUUUUUUCUGGGAUAAAUGCCCAAAAGUGUAUUUUCUGGGUUGUAUGGUAAGUGAAUAUUCAGUUUCAUAAUAAACUGCCAUUAGAGUAGCUACAUUAUUUUUUAUUCCCAUAAGAAAUGUAUGAAUAAUCUAGUUUCUCUGUGUCCUUGCCAGCAUUUGGUAUUAUCACUUUUAAUUUUAGCUGUUCUGGUAAGUACAUAGUGGUGUGUGUUAUUUUUUGCAUUUUUCUAAUGGCAAAUGUUAUUUCACAGGCUUAUUGGCCAUUUGUAUAUCAUCUGUGAAAUAUUUCUUUUUUUCCAUGUUUGCAUUUUGAUACUAGGCUUUUCUCAAGUACAUGAUUUAUAAACAUUUUA